GACGAACGCUGACGGCGUGCUUAACACAUGCAAGUCGAAGGGAGUGGCGAACGGGUGAGUAACACGUGAGUAACCUGCCCUUUUCUUUGGGAUAAGCCUGGGAAACUGGGUCUAAUACUUGAUGGAUUGGGUUGGGCUCGCGGCUUAUCAGCUGGGUGGUGGGGUGAUGGCUUAACAAGGCUUUGACGGGUAGCCGGCCUGAGAGGGUGGUCGGGCACACUGGGACUGAGAUACGGCCCAGGCGCCUACGGGAGGCGGCAGUGGGGGAUAUUGCACAAUGGAUGGAAGUCUGAUGCAGCGACGUCGUGUGGGGGCUGAAGGCCUUAGGGUUGUAAACUCAUUUCGCCAGCGGAAUGGUAGUGGGUAAAGAAGCGCCGGCUAACUACGUGCCAGCAGCCGCGGUAAUUC
rnacentral:rRNA from 1 species